rnacentral:rRNA from 1 species
CGCAGUUAACACAAUAAGUAUCCCACCUGGGGAGUACGAUCGCAAGGUUGAAACUCAAAGGAAUUGACGGGGGCCCGCACAAGCGGUGGAGUAUGUGGUUUAAUUCGAAGCAACGCGAAGAACCUUACCAGGGCUUGACAUCCUGCUAACGAAGUAGAGAUACAUUAGGUGCCCUUCGGGGAAAGCAGAGACAGGUGGUGCAUGGUUGUCGUCAGCUCGUGUCGUGAGAUGUUGGGUUAAGUCCCGCAACGAGCGCAACCCUUAUUGUUAGUUGCUACGCAAGAGCACUCUAGCGAGACUGCCGUUGACAAAACGGAGGAAGGUGGGGACGACGUCAAAUCAUCAUGCCCCUUAUGUCCUGGGCCACACACGUACUACAAUGGCGGUAAACAGAGGGAAGCAAGACCGCGAGGUGGAGCAAAUCCCUAAAAGCCGUCCCAGUUCGGAUUGCAGGCUGAAACCCGCCUGUAUGAAGUUGGAAUCGCUAGUAAUCGCGGAUCAGCAUGCCGCGGUGAAUACGUUCCCGGGCCUUGCACACACCGCCCGUC